AACAGGUUCUUCCAGCUUUUCUUCUGCAUAAACAAAGUGAAAAUGGCAUUCCAUCAACUAAUUUUCUCAUUCAAAACCAAUUCUAUGCAGAGAUAACGCAACAACGAGCAAAGUCACCAUCUACAAAAAUGCAAAUUUUGCAUAAAAAAAAUGUUGUGAAACAAUCACAAAAUCAAGACUUCAAAGCUGAGAGCGAUUGGGACCAAUGACACAAACGGUAUUUGCAAAAGAAUGACAAUAUUGAGGGAAUGCAAUGAGAGUUUUUUCUGAAAGGCCAAUAAAAUUAUACAACAAAUUGACGCUAUAAAGUGAAGACAUUCUAAUAUAUUGAUCAAUGAUUAAUCAAGCCAGCUCUCCUAUGAACCAAAUAAAUGGAACACCUAUAAAAUAUUCCAUUAUUUAUUACCAUUAAGAUCACAAACUACUCUUCUCUAGGGACAUUUUUCUUCUCUUUUUUUUUUUCUUCUUGUAGGGUGGGUAGAGGGUGGUAAAUGUUACUUUCUACUUCAAAAACUAAAAUAAAAAAUCACUAUAUUUAUGUGAGGAUUUUUCUGUGAUGUAAGCCAGAAAAUUAAAAAUUACUCCUGCCUGACAUAAACAUAUACAUGCCUACAUGGAUAUGCCUAUUUUGUAUCUUAGUUGCAUAAAUCCUUUACCUUCUAUCGUAUUUCACUUUUCACUGAAUUUUUGUACUUUUCAUUAAAAGUAACAGCAUCAUAGUAUAUUAAAAAAAAGAUAUCUUUUGUAUGACAUGGCUAAAGCUUUUGAAAAAUUAACGGACUGAUAGAUUGGAGAACGUCAUGGAAAAACAAAGCUUUUGAGGGUCAAAAAAUAAAUAUUGAUAUUCAGUCUUAAUAAG
rnacentral:misc_RNA from 1 species